AAUUGAACGCUGGCGGAAUGCUUUACACAUGCAGUCGAACGGCAGCACGGACUUCGGUCUGGUGGCGAGUGGCGAACGGGUGAGUAAUACAUCGGAACGUGCCCAGUCGUGGGGGAUAACGUAGCGAAAGCUACGCUAAUACCGCAUACGAUCUAAGGAUGAAAGCGGGGGAUCGCAAGACCUCGCGCGAUUGGAGCGGCCGAUGGCAGAUUAGGUAGUUGGUAGGGUAAAGGCCUACCAAGCCGACGAUCUGUAGCUGGUCUGAGAGGACGACCAGCCACACUGGGACUGAGACACGGCCCAGACUCCUACGGGAGGCAGCAGUGGGGAAUUUUGGACAAUGGGCGAAAGCCUGAUCCAGCCAUUCCGCGUGCAGGAUGAAGGCCCUCGGGUUGUAAACUGCUUUUGUACGGAACGAAAAGGUCCUGGUUAAUACCUGGGGCUCAUGACGGUACCGUAAGAAUAAGCACCGGCUAACUACGUGCCAGCAGCCGCGGUAAUACGUAGGGUGCAAGCGUUAAUCGGAAUUACUGGGCGUAAAGCGUGCGCAGGCGGUGAUGUAAGACAGAGGUGAAAUCCCCGGGCUCAACCUGGGAACUGCCUUUGUGACUGCAUCGCUGGAGUACGGCAGAGGGGGAUGGAAUUCCGCGUGUAGCAGUGAAAUGCGUAGAUAUGCGGAGGAACACCGAUGGCGAAGGCAAUCCCCUGGGCCUGUACUGA
rnacentral:rRNA from 1 species